AUCGGGUCGGCGGCGAGGCGGAUGGUGUCUUGAGAGAGGUUAGCCGCAAUGGAGGAGCUUCCAUAAGUGAGGUUGAAUGAGCAGGCGCGUGCUCCACACGCGGGGUUUGGUACCUGAAGCAAGUGUUCACGUGAAUUGUUGUUAAUGCAGUACAGUGUCUAUGUGUCGGUCGAGUGUUUAGUUGUUCUGUAAUCCCGUGAACGUUUUGUUUUUGAAUGUGGGUGGAAUUAUCAAUUAUAACCACGUGGAACCCACUCUCUGUGAAAAACUUUUUUCACGUAAUAAAAUAGAGACUGUCCUUUUUUUAUUAACCAAAUAAAUUCUAGAUCUGCUACUGUGUCAAUAAAUUA
rnacentral:lncRNA from 1 species